UUCGGCUGUUAGCAGUAAGACGGGCUCAACUUUGGGUCCUGAUAUAAAAACAUUUUUCUUGUUUGAUUUGCAGUUCAUAGGAAGGUGUUUUGGACCAAAUUGUACAAUGACUAAUCGCAGUCUCUUCUUCAGAGAGAGAUUAAAUGUCAAGUCAACUCACAUCCAGCCUCUGUCCUUCUUCGAGCCACACGCGAACAUAACACAACGCAGGUAUUGACAUUCACCCGUCGACGAUAAGUAAUGGAUAGAGCAACAUUCGAGGAUUUGCAUGACAUCCAAGAAGCCUGACAUUGACUGGGUUGUUGCUGCUGAGUAUGAUGGACAUGUGGAUGGUGCAAUAGUGGUCCUUGAAUUUCCAUGUCCACUUAAUGAACAGCAACUGGCUGAGGUGCAGUUGCUGCUUGAAAAUGAAGCUGAGAGUGAUGUUAUAGAACAUUUUCUACCAUGUUGUGAAUAUCUGACUACAGCUUUAUCAGGUGCUGAGUAGCCUAUAAAUGAACAAUGACAUAUUUGGACGCAACAUAAAUAAACAUUGCCCAUUAUGGCCACGACUUUGCUUUUUUUAUUCAAUACAAAAACAAAAGUUUUUGUCAGAGGUCAAUAAAAGCUGAAUGGUUUGUUUUUUAAAUGAAUU